AACGACUUUACCUGAUUGAUCAGGUAAAAUUUGUAACAAGCAGAAAUCUGAACUGGCAACCAAAAUCCAAAACUCUAUUCAAGAUGUUCUCCCAUCUGCAAGGCAUCUUUAUUCCCACUUGCCAUCCAGUUAUUCAGACCAGCUGGGAAGUCCAUUCAACCUUGGACUAAUUUAACCCCAGACCCCUGCAGGGUUUUGUUUAUUUUUAAAUGUUAUCAAAGUGUAACAUUAAAAAAAAAAAAGGUAAGAGCAUAAAAAUCGUAGUCAGCUGUUUUAAUUUUCACAAAGUGAGCCCAGGCCUGUAAACUACCUCCAAAUCCAGAAACACAACACAGUUAGCACCCAGAAGCCCCUGCAAAUCCUUUCAGCAACUUCCUCCUCAGGUAUAACCAUGACCCUGACCAACUUCUAACCAUGACAACCUGUUUUGCCUGUUUUGGGCCUUACAUAAAAAAUGGAAUCACACACACAGUAUACUCUUUUAUGCUAUUUUUGGCAUUCAACAUCAUCUGUGUAAUUUAUAAUUGGAGUUUAUUGACUUUCAUUGUGGUAAAAUAUCCCGUUGUUUAAAUACACAUGAUUUGUCAAUCCAUUCUAUCAAAAGGGGCAUUUGGGUUGGUCUGGUGGGUAAUCACAUGCAUAGUGUUGCCCUGAACAUUAUUACACAAGCCAGGUCCUGUUUUCAAAGUCUGAUACAAAACCACCUACCGUUGCUGCGGCCCUCUUUACCAAGAUGUUUCACUCCCAAGAUUUCACAGUUUUGGGACCCCACUUAACUUCCUCCCAUAAUGAUUUAUGUUAUAUUUUUUAAUACAAAUUACCCUGGCUGAAGAGCAUGUUAAUAUCAUCAGCAUUUACUCAUCUAUGUGUGCCCACAGAGCUUUGUCUAGUGCCCUGCACAAAGCAAGUGUUCAACAUUUUCUCAGUUAAAUGGAAUUGUUUGAGAAUGAGCCCUACAUACCCAUCAUCUCCCCUAGUCCCACUUCUCCAUCUUCUCCAAACAAAAUAUCAUCUCUCCCUGAAACAUCCAUUACAGCAAUGGUGCUCAAUUAUUUUGUUUUUAUAUCUCCAAUGUAAAUAAAUGGAAAACUCUAUUCCCAUGCACAAAUUUUUAAAUUUGUAUAUUUAUCACUAUUUUAAAUAAAUAGAGUGAAAUUUCUGCCAUAUUGGAAAUUGUUUAAUACUGCAAAUAUUUUUUAAAAAGUUGAAACUGCAAAUUUGGCUCAUAGAAGUUAUGGACAGUAUUCACCAUAUUACAUAAUUGGCAAAGCAGUCUUCAUUGACAAGUUAAUUAACAUUCAGAUAUGACUUCCCACUAUUUUAAAAAAUUAUUUCAAAUAAACAUGUUAUGGCAAACUUUACUUGUAAAUCAUAAUUCUGAGCCACAUAACUGUAUGGGUUGGUGGAUGAUGGAUGGGUAGAUGGGUUAGAUGGGUGAAUAGAUAGAUGGAUGAAUGAAUGGAUGGACAGGUAGGUGAAUGGGGGAAUUGGU
rnacentral:lncRNA from 1 species